AGCCCUAUUCAAUUUGUGAAAUUUUGCUCUCAUAUUUUAAUUGCCAUUUUGCAAAAAAAGUGCCUGCGAAGGGAUUUUCCCUUUUGUUCAAUAUCUCCAGUUUCGACCUUCACUCAAUUCGAUGAAUCGGCUGGAGACGAACAGUGCUGUUAUAUGGUAAAUUCACUUUCAACGAAUUUGAUUACAUCUCUAUUGUUCUCUGCUGGAUAAGCACAGUCUUCUGCUAAGAUUGUUAGAGUUGAAAAUGUUAACGCAGAAGCAAGUGAACUUGAAAAUGUCGGUGUAGAUUCCCUGCUUAAGCAUGAUGCUAUGAUUGGUUCUGCUAAUGUGCGGUUUGCUAAGGAGGCCGAACUUGAUGUUCAACCACGUUUACCAAACGAACCUGAUGCUCAACUCGACAACAUAGUUCAUUGUACACCUGUUCAAAAGUCCAAGGGAAAGGCUACGAUUGAGGGGAAAUGAUCAAUAAAAAGAACUAUGCCGAUGAGCAAGUCACAGAGGGUCAAGAAUCAAUCAGUUGAGAAUAAUACUGGAUCGAACGAUGGAGAUAAUGAGAACGAACGGACAACGAAUUGGAUUACACCUCUUGUGAUAUCUGCUGGAGACGAGCACUCUUCUUAUAUGGACAACAUUACUACUGAUGCUGACUUAUGUAAGCUGCCAGAGGAUGGUCUUGAUCUUGUAGCCUCUUCACCUCAACUAAGUAAUUAAAGCAUACCUCAUUUUUUUACAUUUUUGCAAAGAAUAUAUUAACUGUAUGAUUAUAUACAAAGAACCUUAAAAUGUGUGUGA